CCUACGGGUGGCAGCAGUAGGGAAUAUUGCUCAAUGGGGGAAACCCUGAAGCAGCAAAGCCGCGUGGAGGAUGAAGGUUUUAGGAUUGGAAACUUCUUUUGUUAGAGAAGAUAAUGACGGUAUGUAACGAAUAAGCACCGGCUAACUCCGUUCCAGCAGCCGCGGUAAUACGGAGGGUGCAAGCGUUACUCGGAAUCACUGGGCGUAAAGAGGGCGUAGGCGGGAUAGCAAGUCAGAUGUGAAAUCCUAUGGCUUAACCAUAGAACUGCAUUUGAAACUGUUAUUCUAGAGUAUGGGAGAGGUAGGUGGAAUUCUUGGUGUAGGGGUAAAAUCCGUAGAGAUCAAGAGGAAUACUCAUUGCGAAGGCGACCUGCUAGAACAUAACUGACGCUGAUGCGCGAAAGCGUGGGGAGCAAACAGGAUUAGAUACCCCGGUAGUC
rnacentral:rRNA from 1 species